UCGGUCAGGGGAAUGCCGAGGCUUAUUUGGGAGUAGGGUCCGUUCAGACACAGCUGCUACAGAGGCACACAGAAAGCCAGAGGUAGGAGGAGGGGGCAAGCUUCUCCAGUACACGAUUCUUCAUCUUCAUCAUGUGUCAUGGACACUGUCGGCCCUAGUGACUCAGGAAGACUAUGAAGGCUUGGAGGAAUUCUUAACCAAGUAGAUGGAAGAAAGCUGGCUGGACAGGCUCUUGGAAGGUUAUGACAACAAUUCCAUUUCCACUCUCAGAGACUUAGAAUUUCUGCAUUGGAAUGGAUCUCAGAGGUCAUCUUGUCCACUUCCCUGCCAGAAGCAGAAAUCCCCUCUUACAACAUCUCAAUUGGUGGUUCAACCUUGCUUGAAUACCUCUCAUGCCAAGAAACUCACUGUAUACCAUUACAAAGAAGUACUCUUUAUAACUAAGCUAUUUCCUUACCUCUAUUGGGAGAUAUGACAUA